rnacentral:rRNA from 1 species
CAGUCGUACCGACGAGAAAUCAGCCCUUCGAGUGCGUACUUGUGGGCGUGCGUGAGUCUUUAACGGGCCUCGCUGUUUGCAAUGUUUGUGCUUUUUGGGUGUACUUUUUCGUAUGGUAGGCCAACGUCAGUUUCGAUCACUAUAAAAUGACUGGCGGAAUGUAGCUUCGAUUUCGGUUGAAGUGUUAUAGCCUCUGGUAGAUGUGGUAAUUGGGACUGAGGAUUACAACGAAUAUCC